rnacentral:rRNA from 1 species
GACGGACGCUGGCGGCGUGCUUAACACAUGCAAGUCGAAGCAACGAAUACGGAAUAGUAAUAGGAAUGUAUUUUAGUGGCGGACGGGUGAGUAACACGUGGGUAACCUGCCCUGUGGAGGGGGAUAACACAGAGAAAUCUGUGCUAAUACCGCAUAACAUAACUGAAUCGCAUGGUUUAGUUAUCAAAGAUUUAUUACCAUAGGAUGGACCCGCGGCCCAUUAGCUAGUUGGUGAGGUAACGGCUCACCAAGGCGACGAUGGGUAGCCGACCUGAGAGGGUGAACGGCCACAUUGGAACUGAGACACGGUCCAGACUCCUACGGGAGGCGGCAGUGGGGAAUAUUGCACAAUGGGGGAAACCCUGAUGCAGCAACGCCGCGUGAGCGACGAAGGCCUUCGGGUCGUAAAGCUCUGUCUUAGCUGACGAUAAUGACGGUAAGCUAGGAGGAAGCCACGGCUAACUACGUGCCAGCAGCCGCGGUAAUACGUANGUGGCGAGCGUUGUCCGGAUUUACUGGGCGUAAAGGGAGCGUAGGCGGUUUUUUAAGUGGGGUGUGAAAUCCCUGGGCUUAACCCAGGAAUUGCAUUCCAAACUGGAAGACUAGAGUGCAGGAGAGGAAAGUGGAAUUCCAAGUGUAGCGGUGAAUGCGUAAAGAUUGGAGGACCCCAGUUGGCGAAGCCACUUCUGACUGGUACCUGACGCUGAGCUCAGAGCGUGGGACACUGAUAAUCCUGGGUA